GAGUUUGAAGAUAUCAGUUUUUCACAUUGUAAUUUUUGAAUUUGAUUUUAUUUUUAUUUUUUUAUCAAUAUUUGAAUCAUAUUCUGUGAUUCAUCAGUAGAAUUAUAAAGUAUAAAUUUAUUAAUUACUAUUUGGAUUGAAAUUUUAACAUAAUUGUUUGGUAAAUUUGCUUCUGAUGAAUAGAGCUAGAAAGAAUUAGUUUGUAAUACAUGUCAAACACCAUCCUGAUGCGAUUUUUGGUUGAAUGUUAAAAAAACUAAACAAAUCUUAAACUUGCUAGCUAAUGCUUCUGGUUUUGAUUGUGUGUAAUUUUUUUAAACCAGAAACAUUAGCUAACAACUUUCAUGGAUUGUGGAUAAUAAUUUGUUUCAAAUCUGAAACAAUUUCUGAAAAAUUUAAUGGGUUUAAUUAGAAAAGAAUUGAUUUCUUUGGAAUGUCAAAUUUCCUUUUGAAAUUUGUAGUAAGAAAUUAGUUUUCAAAGUACCCAGUUGGUGAUCAUUGCUGAAAUAAUAGUGAUAGGUUUGCUCCUGGAAAGGAGCAGGCAAAUUAUCUCUCUUAUUGUGAAAUCCUGAAAAGAGCUUGGGAGGAGACGUGUAGUACUUCAGAAAAUAGUGACAAUACUUAUUUUUGUUGGAGUGAUCAGUAUGAAAAUGAAGGCGUAGUAUUUGUCACAUUCCCUUCCUUUCACAUAGGAGAUUUCACUGUCACUAAUAGCACAUAUGAACAAUGCGAUAUCAAGAAUGAGAACAAGUUCUUCUCUGACCGUCUCAAGGAUGAUGAUGAUCAACCGGCUCUUGUUCACAAAGGAGCUCUCUACAAGUUCCUUGAUAUUAUGCAAAGAUCAGACUUAAAAACCCAGGUAUGAAAACCCUUUUUACUUCUCUUUUAUGUUUGCUCUUUGAUGAGGGAUGCGUGCUAUUGCAUUCCAAAGCCGGCUCUUGUUCACAAAGGAGCUCUCUACAAGUUCCUUGAUAUUAUGCAAAGAUCAGACUUAAAAACCCAGGUAUGAAAACCCUUUUUACUUCUCUUUUAUGGUUGCUCUUUGAUGAGGGAUGCGUGCUAUUGCAUUCCAAAGCCGGCUCUUGUUCACAAAGGAGCUCUCUACAAGUUCCUUGAUAUUAUGCAAAGAUCAGACUUAAAAACCCAGGUAUGAAAACCCUUUUUACUUCUCUUUUAUGGUUGCUCUUUGAUGAGGGAUGCGUGCUAUUGCAUUCCAAAGCCUAAAUCUCAUAAGCACCUGCAGUUUUUGUUUUAUGUGAAGUUGAAGUCUUUUGUAUUGAGUUUUUCAUGGAUCAGUUAGGACUUAAAUUUAAGAUCUUUCAUUUGUGGUUGAAGUUUUCUGUUUCUAAGUUAUUGGUUCUUUUAGGAUUAAUCCAUCUUUUAUUAUGAUGACCUAUUUUUAACACUUCAGAAUAAGUCACUCUGUAGAAUGUUCAGAAUAAGUCACUCUGUAGAAUGUUCAGAAUAAGUCACUCUGUAGAAUGUUCAGGACUUCUAAUCUAAUCCGACUUUUUCUAAACUUUUCAUGAACCUAAACUGAAAUACUCUUCUAUUAAACUACUAACCUUUUUAAGACCAACCCAUCUUUAAUUUGAACAUGACUUAUUUCCAACUUUCUACCCAAAAACCCAUAUCUUUAAAAAGCUUUGCCUAUAAAUGCUUCACUUCACUAUGAACUUGUGUAUUGUACCCUCUUAUUUAAGAUUUCUAGUUCAAUGAACAAAAGAUCUAUGCUAAAUUAUCAUUUUGAUUAUAACCCUGAAAACACUUUCUAACUAAUCUAUAAUUUGACAAUUCAAUAGAGCUAUUGACCUUGGGCGUGAGCUUUCCGUGUUCAACCGCUCAGUAUAUAAAUCGUUCGUAUGAUUCAGAUCCCUCUGCAGCACAUAUGAUCAACUCAUGAAACCUACCAGGUCAGGGUAUCUAUAGAAAGAAGACAGGAUAAAAUUAAAAUUUUAUGGAUUAGUUUGUGAUGGAAAUAAUUCCAGCUACCCUAACUAACUGGUCCUGUCUCAUAUCCUUCAAACGCACAUCAUAUCACCCCUGACUAGCAUUGAAGAGAAGCAAUGAAUACAGAUUUUGGCAAGAUUUGAUAUGAUAUCAAUUAAUUUGUCAACUGUCCUAGCUGCAUAUUUCACACAGAUUGUAGGUUCUUUAGAAAACAUUAUUUCAUUGUGUUCCCUCUCUCCAACGUAUGUGCCUAGAUUUCUAUAUAAUGUUUGCCUUUGUUUUCUGUGCUCACUCUCUCUUCGGAGGGUCCAGCUCUACAGAGCUAAUAGAAGAGUCUGUUAUUGAAUAUCGGUCUCAAUGUAAUGGUGUUUAAUGUAUGAGCUACAGCUCUGUCAAAGUAUGUAAUGUUUCUCUUGUAAUAUGAUAAUAACGAAUGAAAGUUUUGAGCUUGUUUGGUUCUGUUUUAUCUCCUGCCUCCCCUGUUCUUACAUCUGGUAUCAGAGCUGAUGGUGUCUCAGAGAUGGUCACUCCUACAGAAGGUUGGAUCAAAGGUUUGAGACAAAGCCAUGAAAUGUAUUUAGAGAAGUUGCACAUCGUGUGUAUACAGCAGGAGAGAUCUAAGGUUAUAGUUUGUUGUUGAAGCCAUGGGUGAGAGUGUUGGUGGCCAUCCUACGAGUGAGUAUAAGGUCAGAGUGUUAACGAGAGAAGACAUAAGGGUUUUGAAAGGAACGGAGAGGAGAAAGAAUGUUAGUAGAGAUCUGAGUUUUUGAUCCCAUAAUGGCUGCAGUGGAGUUGAUGCAGUGCUUUGGGCAGAAGAAGACGACGGUGGCAGUGACACAUGGCAACUGCGUGCGAGGAUUGAGAAAGAUUAAUGGGUGUCCGAUAGAGCUGGUGGAGCUAGAGUUCCUGCACUACAAGGCGUUCGAGCCAAUCCUGCUACUGGGCCGUCAGCGCUUCAGUAAUGUCCAUAUGCGCAUCCGAGUGAAGGGCGGUGGUCACACGUCGCAGAUCUACGCCAUUCUCCAGAGCAUGGCGAAGGCCCUCGUUGGCUUCUAUCAGAAGUACGUGGAUGAUCUGGCCAAGAAGGAGAUUGUGGUAAAGAGCAAGAUGCACCAGCCUUAGCUACAGACAGUUGUAUUGCUGGAGAUAGAAAUAUUUGAAGCCGAUUACAAAUCAAGUGUGCAAAAAACAUCGAGGGUUCGGCACAAAAGAAAGAUUGAAGAUCUGGAAAGCCACUGCAGCAAGUGUGGAGAAGGAUGUUGAAAAAAAGAGACACAAAGGCUGCAAGAUUUGUAAAAGAAACGCAAAAUAAAGUGCACGUGGGCCUGGAGAGUAAAGGCAUGCAGAUCUAUCAAAAGCCACCAAAGAAAAGUUGAGAUCAUUUGAAAGUAAGUAUUUAUGAUUAUGGUGUAUGUUGUCUCUCCAGAUGAAGUCAAGGUCGAGCCACUGUCAAUGUAUAUUCGCAGUUAAAAAAAAGAUGAAGAAUUUAUCCAAACAGGAAAAGGAACAAUCCAUUAUAUUUGUGGGUCAUUCUAUAGGAGGUGCUAUAGCAACCCUGGCUACGAUCUGCUUCCUGGAUAAGAGGCUGAAAAAUAUCUAUCCUUUAUGCAUUGCAUUUGGCUCUUCUUUGGUGGGAAAUGCUGCUCUUAAAGAAUCAAUUGGUUACCAUGAUUGGUCUGUAAGAUUUUGUCAUGUUGUUUCAAAAUAUGAUGUUGUUCCUCGCAUGCUUCUUGCACCAUUUGAAGCAGUUGCAGUGUAUUUGAAUUCGAUUUUUUCUCAGAGAGGGAAUAUAACGGGCAAUAUUUCUGAUCCUCAAGAAGCUUGCAGGAAACUUCUUGACAAUUUGAAGUGCCUUGGAGAGUCUAGCGCAUAUAAACCCUUUGGUACUUAUAUGUUCUGUUCAACUUACGGAGCAGCUUGUAUCGAGGACAGUCAAGCUGCCUUGGAGAUGCUAAUUUUAACUUUGCAAAGUAUAGAAGAAAAUGGCAUUCAAGAGGAAAAUGAUAUUGCCGGUUUAUUGAUUUCAAAGCACAAAAAUUAUGGUGAUAUGCUGGAUCAUGUUAUUAAAAGUGGAUACUCAACAAGAACUGCAAACAUCGUCUCAGAAUCUUCCAUUGAGAUGGGACUGGUACUGCAAUUAGAAUCCUCCGUUGAGAUGGGAAUAGCACUGCAAUUAGAAGCCAUGGGUUUUCGGACUCUGGUAAUCUCAUUAUUAUUUUUCAAUUAAUCCCUCAUAUAACUCUUUGUAUUAUGGGACUGGUACUGCAAUUAGAAUCCUCCGUUGAGAUGGGAAUAGCACUGCAAUUAGAAGCCAUGGGUUUUCGGACUCUGGUAAUCUCAUUAUUAUUUUUCAAUUAAUCCCUCAUAUAACUAUUUGUAUUCAAAUCGUAUAUACAAUUUUUAGAACUUUAUAAGUC